rnacentral:rRNA from 1 species
AUUGAACGCUGGCGGCAGGCCUAACACAUGCAAGUCGAGCGGAUGAGGGGAGCUUGCUCCUGGAUUCAGCGGCGGACGGGUGAGUAAUUCCUAGGAAUCUGCCUGGUAGUGGGGGAUAACGUCCGGAAACGGGCGCUAAUACCGCAUACGUCCUGAGGGAGAAAGUGGGGGAUCUUCGGACCUCACGCUAUCAGAUGAGCCUAGGUCGGAUUAGCUAGUUGGUGGGGUAAAGGCCUACCAAGGCGACGAUCCGUAACUGGUCUGAGAGGAUGAUCAGUCACACUGGAACUGAGACACGGUCCAGACUCCUACGGGAGGCAGCAGUGGGGAAUAUUGGACAAUGGGCGAAAGCCUGAUCAAGCCAUGCCGCGUGGGGGAAGAAGGUCUUCGGAUUGUAAAGCACUUUAAGUUGGGAGGAAGGGCAGUAAGUUAAUACCUUGCUGUUUUGACGUUACCAACAGAAUAAGCACCGGCUAACUUCGUG